CGGGGAUUGGCGGAAAAAAGCAGUCAGUCUCCGCGAAGCCCCGUCUUCCUGCCAUUUCCCGGUUGGAGGCCCGCGACGUCAGUCACCGCAGCAGGCUCCGCCUCUGGGACAGGUAUGCACAUUUCAGUGCAGGUGACCUCAGAGGCCAGAGAAGUUGGAUCCCCUGUAGAUGAAGUUUCAGACCCUGUAAACCACUCAGUCUUGUGCUGGAAACUGAACUCUGGUCCUCUUCAAAAGCAAGCACAAAGAUCAUUGAAACCAUGUGAGAAGAAAAUGCAGUUCCUAAAACACUGAAGUAUUCAAGCAGAGUCAGUUCUGUUGUUAUUGCUGCACUGGCCCUGAUCCUGGCCAAACAUGUACCUUGAGCACAGGUGCCAGGAAGA